rnacentral:piRNA from 1 species
CUGCAGAAGGAGCAGCCAGGAGUGUC